UACGGGGGGGGCAAGCGUUGUUCGGAAUUACUGGGCGUAAAGGGCUCGUAGGCGGCCAACUAAGGCGGAUGUGAAAUCCCCAGGCUUAACCUGGGAACUGCAUCCGAUACUGGAUGGCUUGAAUUCGGGAGAGGGAUGCAGAAUUCCAGGUGUAGCGGUGAAAUGCGUAGAUAUCUGGAGGAAUACCAAUUGCGAAGGCAGGUUACUACUAGUGGAUUGACGCUGAUGGACGAAAGCGUGGGGAGCGAACAGG
rnacentral:rRNA from 1 species